rnacentral:lncRNA from 1 species
GGUUAAAUUAAGUAAACAAUGACAUCAAAAGCACUAUUUUGUGUAAGAGUAAACUUACUUUUACAUACAUUCUAAAUUUGAAGGAGUAAUUUGUGGUCUAACACCUACAUAACACUAAGGAGCUAAGCUUUUCAAUGAUAAAACAACAGUCUUUGUCUAACUGCUAUAUAUCUUAUGAAAUUUUUCUGAUAGUGUGUGGCUCAA